rnacentral:rRNA from 1 species
CCUACGGGAGGCAGCAGUGAGGCAUCUUGGUCAAUGGACGAGAGUCUGAACCAGCCAAGUCGCGUGAAGGAUGACUGCCCUAUGGGUUGUAAACUUCUUUUAUAUGGGAGUAAAAUGUUCCACGUGUGGGAUUUUGUAUGUACCAUAUGAAUAAGGAUCGGCUAACUCCGUGCCAGCAGCCGCGGUAAUACGGAGGAUACGAGCGUUAUCCGGAUUUAUUGGGUUUAAAGGGAGCGUAGGUGGAUUGUUAAGUCAGUUGUGAAAUGUUGCGGAUGAACCGUAAAAUUGCAGUUGAAACUGGGAGUCUUGAGUACAGUAGAGGUGGGCGGAAUUCGUGGUGUAGCGGUGAAAUGCUUAGAUAUCACGAAGAACUCCGAUUGCGAAGGCAGUUCACUGGACUGCAACUGACACUGAGGCUCGAAAGUGUGGGUAUCAAACAGGAUUAGAUACCCGUGUAGUC